GACGAACGCUGGCGGCGCGCUUAACACAUGCAAGUCGAGCGAUGAAAUUUCGACGGAUCCCUUCGGGGUGAAGAUGAAAUGGAUUAGCGGCGGACGGGUGAGUAACACGUGAGUAACCUGCCUUAGACAUUGGGAUAGCCUCGGGAAACCGGGAUUAAUACCAAAUGAAAUCACAUAUGCACAUGCAUAAAUGAUCAAAGCUCCGGCGGUCUAAGAUGGACUCGCGUCCCAUUAGCUAGUUGGUGAGGUA
rnacentral:rRNA from 1 species